rnacentral:lncRNA from 1 species
CGUCACCAGCAACGUAGUGCACGUCAGUACCAGAGGGAGCUUUUGCGACGACCUGUGGGAGAUCCAGCACGGUGCACUUCAAAUCCGGGAACGCCGCUGCUAUGGUCGCAGCGGCCCCGCCAAGGCCGCCGGCGACAUCGACGAGGGAGGUUAGCCCACGGAAGACCUCGGCGCACUCCCUGAGGACGAUCGGCAUCAGGAAGGCGGUGUCCGCGGCCAUGGCGUCGUUGAACCGGAACGCGGCGGCGUCAUGUUCCGCUCUCUCCCAGACCGUCUGGCCGCCGUACGCCAUGGCGAACGGGGACAGACCCGGCUGCUGCUGGUCGCCCUGCUGCCGGAACCACUUGCGCAUGCCCAUGCUAACCGGAGAAUCUCGGACCGGCCCGAGCAAGAGCUGCACGGUCAGGAAAUGAGGCAGUUGGCCCGUCGCCGUCGAGCUCUUGUCCCUGACGAGGAGGCGGGAGGCCGCUGUCAGCUUGUAGACCGCGGCGUCGUGCCUGCUUUCUGCCGCCGCCGCCGCCGCCGCCUCGUCCGGGUGCUGGACGAUGAAGAUGCCCGAAACGGUGAGCACGCGCAUGACGCGGCGCAUGUCGCGGAGCCUGCACGGGCUGAUCCCGGCCUCGGCGAGUAUCUGGGGCAGGGUGGCGGCGCCGCCGAGGCGGUGGACGGCGUCGGCGAUGCGGAGGUCCAAGGCGAUGGCGAGCGCGGCGGACUUGAAGAAGCCGAGGGACUGGUGCCAGAGCUGGAGCUCGGCCUGGAGCAGCUCCUGGCUGCUGUACUCGGCGAGCAAUGCCAUUACUGCCCCGAUCGACCAAUCAGUCGAUCUUGAUGGCUAAUUCUUCCUUGUUCAGGGGUUGCUGAGCUUUGGGUGGAGCCAUACACGCAUCGGGUACUUAUAGUUGCAUGGCAGCUUGGUUAAGUAUUCUACCCCCAACGAACAUGAGCAUUAUUCUACAAGCUCUCAUUGGCUGUAUAUGCAAGCAUGUGCAGCCCUGGAAAUCAAGACGAUAUCCCAGCCGGUGCCCAGUUGACUUUGAAAGGAGGAACGAGUCAUGAGAGAUUUUUUGAAAAUAGAAUGAUAGGCUGCUUCUGCAUAUGUACUUAUAUACCAAUGAAAACUAAUUGUAUAUAUAGGGAAUUUUGAAGCACUUAGUCAACUACUAGCUGCAGUAGCUUGAAUGGUCGCAUUACAUACGCACACGGCAGCUACUUAGUUUAGGCUGCUAGGUGACCGCGAGCGGAAGCUUACGUUGCCUUGGUCAGAAUUCGAGCUAUAUAGAGAGGAGAGGCUGCGCGGCUGCGCCAAGGUAUCAAUCAAUCUUAUCCUUGACCGUGAUGGCUGAAGAAGUCUUCCAUGUCUGCGCCUCCAAAGUACUAAACAAGAGCACCAGGAAUUCAGGAUCUCAUGACUGCUCAUCACUUUUGUUUUUUUAUAACUAUCUGCUCAACGAUCACUUUUGGAGUUUUUGGACAGCUACCAUGCUAGUUGAAACCACGCACCUUCAUGUUGCCGUCACAAGACUACCGUUUCAAUAUGUCCAAGUUAACAGUGGACUGAUCAGUUGCAAUCUGCAAGCGAACCAUCUUCACUGACAAUAGCUAUCAUGGAUGCACAUGUAUAUCAAGCAUAAGUACUUGCAAACCAAUCAUUGAGUCUUUCACCGUUGCACGGUUUUGUUUUUAAAAGUAUGUUUGCAACUAGUCACUUCUGAAGGUAUUUGCAAUUGCAAAAAUAGUUUCUAACGUCUAUUACCGAAAAAAUUGUCCUUUUGCAUCUUAGUUUUUAAUUAUGUUGAGUUUGACAAUGAAAUUUUAUGGAUGCAUAUAUCAUGCUCAUCCCCAUCUAUAGUAAAAUUUAUAAAAUAUUCUCAAACCUUUUAAGUAGAGUGAAAAUUAAAUCCACAUUCUUGUGUCGUUUACACCACCUAUAUACUUCACCCAAGAAUGCAAUCAAAUAUGCUCACCCACCUACUGCUAGAUGUGCCUCUUCAAUAUUCAACUUAUUUUUCAUGGCUGUCCUCUCCUUAUGUCGACUGCUUCCGACGCUGCAUUGUGCACCACCGUAGUCGCUGUGCUUCCUUCGUCUCCGGUGACGAUGACAAUGCCUGCUUUGCCGCCACCAUUUUUCAGCGUGGUGGUUGUCCGAUUUCGAGUGAGAAGCAGUGUACAUCUCUAAGGCAGAUUCAUUUUUCACCGAUCCUCCAUCUGAGAAGAAGAGGAAAAGGAAGAGGAGGAGGAAGAGGAAGGAGAAGCAAGAUGACGUUGCUGCCAGAAAGCCUGAUGACAUGGAUUUGAACAUAAAUGACGACGACAUGGUAGAUUAGCAAACACAGUGGAAUAAAAACUAGACUCAAGUAUGUGCCCUUCAUGUAUACUUUGAGCAAAGCACUAUACAUGUGCAAACUUUUUUCCAGGUCUAAGUAGGCAAGCACCAAAGUAAUAAAACAGGUUUUACUCCUUUUGUAGGGUCAGAUGCCCGAAUAUGAAUCCCCCACAUAUGUAUAGGGCCACUUAUUGGACACUAUGCAUCUUAACAAUAAUUCAGAACCAGUAUAUAUAUAAUUUUGUGAUGUCUUAUUCUUUGGAUGGUGUUCUGUUCACCAAGCUUUCAAGGAUAGAGCUCGAUAACAGAUCGAACACCGAGAACAGGUAUAAUUUUGUAGUCCUUGAAUCCAGCCUCGAAGAAAAUCUUCUUCCACUCUUGCUCAUCUCGUUCAACUCCAUUGAUGUUCAUGAUUAAGAGGUCAUACAAAACUUGUGUCUCUGCAUGCUUGAUAUCAUCUGACGGCCCAGAUCCGACCACCAUAUCUAUUAUUAUUAUCUUUCCUCCAGCAUCUCGUGGAGAUAUAACUUGUUUGCAGUUCUUCAGUAUCUUGACACACUCGUCAUCGCGCCAAUCAUGCAAAAUCCACUGGAAAAAACAAGCAAUCAUGCAUCAAUUUUCAAUCCAUACAUAAAUUAAACAUACAAUAGCUUAGGGCAUUUGCUGGUUGCUGUCACUAAUGUGCAUUCGAAACAUUUGGGUACUGGGAUGUACCUUGAGGAACACAGCGUUCGCCGGUGGAAUACUCUCAAACAUGUCACCAGCAACGUAGUGCACGUCAGUACCAGAGGGAGCUUGUGCGACGACCUGUGGGAGAUCCAGCACGGUGCACUUCAAAUCCGGGAACGCCGCUGCUAUGGUCGCAGCGGCCCCGCCAAGGCCGCCGGCGACAUCGACGAGGGAGGUUAGCCCACGGAAGACCUCGGCGCACUCCCUGAGGACGAUCGGCAUCAGGAAGGCGGUGUCCGCGGCCAUGGCUUCGUUGAACCGGAACGCCUCGGCGUCACCCUCCGCUCUCUCCCAGACAGACUGGCCGCCGUACGCCAUGGAGAACGGGGACAGACCCGGCUGCUGCAGGUCACCCUGCUGCCGGAACCACUUGCGCAUGCCCAUGCUGACCGGAGAAUCUCGGACCGGCCAGAGCAAGAGCUGCACGGUCAGGAAAUGAGGCAGCUGGCCCGUCGCCGUCGAGCUCUUGUCCCUGACGAGGAGGCGGGAGGCCGCCGUCAGCUUGUAGACCGCGGCGUCGUGCCUGCUUUCUGCCGCCGCCGCCGCCUCGUCCGGGUACUGGACGAUGAAGAUGCCCGAAACGGUGAGCACGCGCAUGACGCGGCGCAUGUCGCGGAGCCUGCACGGGCUGAUGCCGGCCUCGGCGAGUAUCUGGGGCAGGGUGGCGGAGCCGCCGAGGCGGUGGACGGCGUCGGCGAUGCCGAGGUCCAAGGCGAUGGCGAGCGCGGCGGACUUGAAGAAGCCGAGGGACUGAUGCCAGAGCUGGAGCUCGGCCUGGAGCAGCUCCUGGCUGCUGUACUCGGCGAGCAAUGCCAUUACUGCCCCGAUCGACCAAUCAGUCGAUCUUGAUGGCUGGUUCUUUCUUGUUCAGGGGUUGCUGAGCUUUGGGUGGAGCCAUACACGCAUCGGGUACUUAUAGUUGCAUGGCAGCUUGGUUAAGAGGGUGUUUGGGAGAAGGGGGUUAAACUUUAGCCUUGUCACAUCGGAUGUUCGGAUACUAAUUAGGAGGACUAAAUAUAAGCUAAUUACAAAACUAAUUGCAGAACCCCUAAGCUAAAUCGCAAGACGAAUCUAUUAACCCUAACUAAUUAGGCUUAAUAGAUUCGUCUCGCGAUUUAACCUAGGGGUUGUGUAAUUAGUUUUGUAAUUAGUCUAGGUUUAAUACUCCUAACUAGUGUCCAAACAUUCGAUGUGACGGGAGCUAAAAUUUAGCCCCCUCCUCCCAAACACCUACCCCCAACGAACAUGAGCAUUAUUCUACAAGCUCUCAUUGGCUGUAUAUGCAAGCAUGUGCAGCCUUGGAAAUCAAGACGAUAUCCCAGCCGGUGCCCAGUUGACUUUGAAAGGAGGAACGAGUCAUGAGAGAUUUUUUGAAAAUAGAAUGAUAGGCUGCUUCUGCAUAUGUACUUAUAUACCAAUGAAAACUAAUUGUAUAUAUAGGGAAUUUUGAAGCACUUAGUCAACUACUAGCUGCAGUAGCUUGAAUGGUCGCAUUACAUAUGCACACGGCAGCUACUUACCCCUUGUUUACUUUCCAAUUUGGGAUAGGCAAAAUUGACAUUUUGCCAUAAAUGCGUAACUGUAGCGUUUCGUUUGUAUUUGUGAAUUAUUGUCUAAAUAUUGACUAAUUAGGCUCAAAAGAUUCGUCUCGCAAAGUACAACGAAAUUGUGUAAUUAGUUUUUGAUUUCGUCUACAUUUAGUACUCCAUGCAUGUACCGCAAGUUUGAUGUGAUGGUGAAUCUUCUUUUUGCAUAGUGUCAAAGUUGGGUGUUUGGGAGAAGGGGGCUAAACUUUAGCCUUGUCACAUCGGAUGUUCGGAUACUAAUUAGGAGGACUAAACAUAAGCUAAUUACAAAACUAAUUGCAGAACCCCUAGGCUAAAUCGCGAGACGAAUCUAUUAAGCCUAAUUAAUCCAUCAUUAGUGAAUGGUUACUGUAGCACCGCAUUGUCAAAUCAUGGACUAAUUAGGCUUAAUAGAUUCGUCUCGCGAUUUAGCCUAGGGGUUGUGUAAUUAGUCUAGGUUUAAUACUCCUAACUAGUGUCCAAACAUUCGAUGUGACGGGGGUUAAAAUUUAGCCCCCUCCUCCCAAACACCUACCCCAACGAACAUGAGCAUUAUUCUACAAGCUCUCAUUGGCUGUAUAUGCAAGCAUGUGCAGCCCUGGAAAUCAAGACGAUAUCCCAGCCGGUGCCCAGUUGACUUUGAAAGGAGGAACGAGUCAUGAGAGAUUUUUUGAAAAUAGAAUGAUAGGCUGCUUCUGCAUAUGUACUUAUAUACCAAUGAAAACUAAUUGUAUAUAUAGGGAAUUUUGAAGCACUUAGUCAACUCCUAGCUGCAGUAGCUUGAAUGGUCGUAUUACAUACGCACACGGCAGCUACUUACCCCUCGUUUACUUCCCAAUUUGGGAUAGGCAAAAUUGACAUUUUGUCAUAAAUGCGCAACUGUAGCGUUUCGUUUGUAUUUGUGAAUUAUUGUCUAAAUAUUGACUAAUUAGGCUCAAAAGAUUCGUCUCGCAAAGUACAACGAAAUUGUGUAAUUAGUUUUUGAUUUCGUCUACAUUUAGUACUCCAUGCAUGUACCGCAAGUUUAAUGUGAUGAAGAAUCUUCUUUUUGCAUAGUGUCAAAGUUGGGAGUUUGGAGGGAAGUAAACAAGGGGUUAGUUUAGGCUGCUAGGUGACCGCGAGCGGAAGCUUACGUUGCCUUGGUCAGAAUUCGAGCUAUAUAGAGAGGAGAGGCUGCGCGCUGCGCCAAGGUAUCAAUCAAUCUUAUCCUUGACCGUGAUGGCUGAAGAAGUCUUCCAUGUCUGCGCCUGCAAACUACUAAACAAAUCUUUAUCCUUGGUCAGAAUUCGAGCUGUAUAGAGAGGAGAGGCUGCGCGUAGAUCUCUAUCAUGAAUGCACAUGUAUAUCAAGCAUAAGUACUUGCAAACCAAUCAUUGAGUCUUUCACCGUUGCACGGUUUUGUUUUUAAAAGUAUGUUUGCAACUAGUCACUUCUGAAGGUAUUUGCAAUUGCAAAAAUAGUUUCUAACGUCUAUUACCGAAAAAAUUGUCCUUUUGCAUCUUAGUUUUUAAUUAUGUUGAGUUUGACAAUGAAAUUUUAUGGAUGCAUAUAUCAUGCUCAUCCCCAUCUAUAGUAAAAUUUAUAAAAUAUUCUCAAACCUUUUAAGUAGAGUGAAAAUUAAAUCCACAUUCUUGUGUCGUUUACACCACCUAUAUACUUCACCCAAGAAUGCAAUCAAAUAUGCUCACCCACCUACUGCUAGAUGUGCCUCUUCAAUAUUCAACUUAUUUUUCAUGGCUGUCCUCUCCUUAUGUCGACUGCUUCCGACGCUGCAUUGUGCACCACCGUAGUCGCUGUGCUUCCUUCGUCUCCGGUGACGAUGACAAUGCCUGCUUUGCCGCCACCAUUUUUCAGCGUGGUGGUUGUCCGAUUUCGAGUGAGAAGCAGUGUACAUCUCUAAGGCAGAUUCAUUUUUCACCGAUCCUCCAUCUGAGAAGAAGAGGAAAAGGAAGAGGAGGAGGAAGAGGAAGGAGAAGCAAGAUGACGUUGCUGCCAGAAAGCCUGAUGACAUGGAUUUGAACAUAAAUGACGACGACAUGGUAGAUUAGCAAACACAGUGGAAUAAAAACUAGACUCAAGUAUGUGCCCUUCAUGUAUACUUUGAGCAAAGCACUAUACAUGUGCAAACUUUUUUCCAGGUCUAAGUAGGCAAGCACCAAAGUAAUAAAACAGGUUUUACUCCUUUUGUAGGGUCAGAUGCCCGAAUAUGAAUCCCCCACAUAUGUAUAGGGCCACUUAUUGGACACUAUGCAUCUUAACAAUAAUUCAGAACCAGUAUAUAUAUAAUUUUGUGAUGUCUUAUUCUUUGGAUGGUGUUCUGUUCACCAAGCUUUCAAGGAUAGAGCUCGAUAACAGAUCGAACACCGAGAACAGGUAUAAUUUUGUAGUCCUUGAAUCCAGCCUCGAAGAAAAUCUUCUUCCACUCUUGCUCAUCUCGUUCAACUCCAUUGAUGUUCAUGAUUAAGAGGUCAUACAAAACUUGUGUCUCUGCAUGCUUGAUAUCAUCUGACGGCCCAGAUCCGACCACCAUAUCUAUUAUUAUUAUCUUUCCUCCAGCAUCUCGUGGAGAUAUAGCUUGUUUGCAGUUCUUCAAUAUCUUGACACACUCGUCAUCGCGCCAAUCAUGCAAAAUCCACUGAAAAAAACAAGCAAUCAUGCAUCAAUUUUCAAUCCAUACAUAAAUUAAACAUACAAUAGCUUAGGGCAUUUGCUGGUUGCUGUCAGUAAUGUGCAUUCGAAACAUUUGGGUAUUGGGAUGUACCUUGAGGAACACAGCGUUCGCCGGUGGAAUACUCUCAAACACGUCACCAGCAACGUAGUGCACGUCAGUACCAGAGGGAGCUUUUGCGACGACCUGUGGGAGAUCCAGCACGGUGCACUUCAAAUCCGGGAACGCCGCUGCUAUGGUCGCAGCGGCCCCGCCAAGGCCGCCGGCGACAUCGACGAGGGAGGUUAGCCCACGGAAGACCUCGGCGCACUCCCUGAGGACGAUCGGCAUCAGGAAGGCGGUGUCCGCGGCCAUGGCGUCGUUGAACCGGAACGCGGCGGCGUCAUGUUCCGCUCUCUCCCAGACCGUCUGGCCGCCGUACGCCAUGGCGAACGGGGACAGACCCGGCUGCUGCUGGUCGCCCUGCUGCCGGAACCACUUGCGCAUGCCCAUGCUAACCGGAGAAUCUCGGACCGGCCCGAGCAAGAGCUGCACGGUCAGGAAAUGAGGCAGUUGGCCCGUCGCCGUCGAGCUCUUGUCCCUGACGAGGAGGCGGGAGGCCGCUGUCAGCUUGUAGACCGCGGCGUCGUGCCUGCUUUCUGCCGCCGCCGCCGCCGCCGCCUCGUCCGGGUGCUGGACGAUGAAGAUGCCCGAAACGGUGAGCACGCGCAUGACGCGGCGCAUGUCGCGGAGCCUGCACGGGCUGAUCCCGGCCUCGGCGAGUAUCUGGGGCAGGGUGGCGGCGCCGCCGAGGCGGUGGACGGCGUCGGCGAUGCGGAGGUCCAAGGCGAUGGCGAGCGCGGCGGACUUGAAGAAGCCGAGGGACUGGUGCCAGAGCUGGAGCUCGGCCUGGAGCAGCUCCUGGCUGCUGUACUCGGCGAGCAAUGCCAUUACUGCCCCGAUCGACCAAUCAGUCGAUCUUGAUGGCUAAUUCUUCCUUGUUCAGGGGUUGCUGAGCUUUGGGUGGAGCCAUACACGCAUCGGGUACUUAUAGUUGCAUGGCAGCUUGGUUAAGUAUUCUACCCCCAACGAACAUGAGCAUUAUUCUACAAGCUCUCAUUGGCUGUAUAUGCAAGCAUGUGCAGCCCUGGAAAUCAAGACGAUAUCCCAGCCGGUGCCCAGUUGACUUUGAAAGGAGGAACGAGUCAUGAGAGAUUUUUUGAAAAUAGAAUGAUAGGCUGCUUCUGCAUAUGUACUUAUAUACCAAUGAAAACUAAUUGUAUAUAUAGGGAAUUUUGAAGCACUUAGUCAACUACUAGCUGCAGUAGCUUGAAUGGUCGCAUUACAUACGCACACGGCAGCUACUUAGUUUAGGCUGCUAGGUGACCGCGAGCGGAAGCUUACGUUGCCUUGGUCAGAAUUCGAGCUAUAUAGAGAGGAGAGGCUGCGCGGCUGCGCCAAGGUAUCAAUCAAUCUUAUCCUUGACCGUGAUGGCUGAAGAAGUCUUCCAUGUCUGCGCCUCCAAAGUACUAAACAAGAGCACCAGGAAUUCAGGAUCUCAUGACUGCUCAUCACUUUUGUUUUUUUAUAACUAUCUGCUCAACGAUCACUUUUGGAGUUUUUGGACAGCUACCAUGCUAGUUGAAACCACGCACCUUCAUGUUGCCGUCACAAGACUACCGUUUCAAUAUGUCCAAGUUAACAGUGGACUGAUCAGUUGCAAUCUGCAAGCGAACCAUCUUCACUGACAAUAGCUAUCAUGGAUGCACAUGUAUAUCAAGCAUAAGUACUUGCAAACCAAUCAUUGAGUCUUUCACCGUUGCACGGUUUUGUUUUUAAAAGUAUGUUUGCAACUAGUCACUUCUGAAGGUAUUUGCAAUUGCAAAAAUAGUUUCUAACGUCUAUUACCGAAAAAAUUGUCCUUUUGCAUCUUAGUUUUUAAUUAUGUUGAGUUUGACAAUGAAAUUUUAUGGAUGCAUAUAUCAUGCUCAUCCCCAUCUAUAGUAAAAUUUAUAAAAUAUUCUCAAACCUUUUAAGUAGAGUGAAAAUUAAAUCCACAUUCUUGUGUCGUUUACACCACCUAUAUACUUCACCCAAGAAUGCAAUCAAAUAUGCUCACCCACCUACUGCUAGAUGUGCCUCUUCAAUAUUCAACUUAUUUUUCAUGGCUGUCCUCUCCUUAUGUCGACUGCUUCCGACGCUGCAUUGUGCACCACCGUAGUCGCUGUGCUUCCUUCGUCUCCGGUGACGAUGACAAUGCCUGCUUUGCCGCCACCAUUUUUCAGCGUGGUGGUUGUCCGAUUUCGAGUGAGAAGCAGUGUACAUCUCUAAGGCAGAUUCAUUUUUCACCGAUCCUCCAUCUGAGAAGAAGAGGAAAAGGAAGAGGAGGAGGAAGAGGAAGGAGAAGCAAGAUGACGUUGCUGCCAGAAAGCCUGAUGACAUGGAUUUGAACAUAAAUGACGACGACAUGGUAGAUUAGCAAACACAGUGGAAUAAAAACUAGACUCAAGUAUGUGCCCUUCAUGUAUACUUUGAGCAAAGCACUAUACAUGUGCAAACUUUUUUCCAGGUCUAAGUAGGCAAGCACCAAAGUAAUAAAACAGGUUUUACUCCUUUUGUAGGGUCAGAUGCCCGAAUAUGAAUCCCCCACAUAUGUAUAGGGCCACUUAUUGGACACUAUGCAUCUUAACAAUAAUUCAGAACCAGUAUAUAUAUAAUUUUGUGAUGUCUUAUUCUUUGGAUGGUGUUCUGUUCACCAAGCUUUCAAGGAUAGAGCUCGAUAACAGAUCGAACACCGAGAACAGGUAUAAUUUUGUAGUCCUUGAAUCCAGCCUCGAAGAAAAUCUUCUUCCACUCUUGCUCAUCUCGUUCAACUCCAUUGAUGUUCAUGAUUAAGAGGUCAUACAAAACUUGUGUCUCUGCAUGCUUGAUAUCAUCUGACGGCCCAGAUCCGACCACCAUAUCUAUUAUUAUUAUCUUUCCUCCAGCAUCUCGUGGAGAUAUAACUUGUUUGCAGUUCUUCAGUAUCUUGACACACUCGUCAUCGCGCCAAUCAUGCAAAAUCCACUGGAAAAAACAAGCAAUCAUGCAUCAAUUUUCAAUCCAUACAUAAAUUAAACAUACAAUAGCUUAGGGCAUUUGCUGGUUGCUGUCACUAAUGUGCAUUCGAAACAUUUGGGUACUGGGAUGUACCUUGAGGAACACAGCGUUCGCCGGUGGAAUACUCUCAAACAUGUCACCAGCAACGUAGUGCACGUCAGUACCAGAGGGAGCUUGUGCGACGACCUGUGGGAGAUCCAGCACGGUGCACUUCAAAUCCGGGAACGCCGCUGCUAUGGUCGCAGCGGCCCCGCCAAGGCCGCCGGCGACAUCGACGAGGGAGGUUAGCCCACGGAAGACCUCGGCGCACUCCCUGAGGACGAUCGGCAUCAGGAAGGCGGUGUCCGCGGCCAUGGCUUCGUUGAACCGGAACGCCUCGGCGUCACCCUCCGCUCUCUCCCAGACAGACUGGCCGCCGUACGCCAUGGAGAACGGGGACAGACCCGGCUGCUGCAGGUCACCCUGCUGCCGGAACCACUUGCGCAUGCCCAUGCUGACCGGAGAAUCUCGGACCGGCCAGAGCAAGAGCUGCACGGUCAGGAAAUGAGGCAGCUGGCCCGUCGCCGUCGAGCUCUUGUCCCUGACGAGGAGGCGGGAGGCCGCCGU